rnacentral:tRNA from 2 species
CAGAUAUUAGUUUAUAAAAAAUUUUAAUUUUGGAGAUUAAAGAAAGGAUUUGUCUUAUAUCUGA